AUGAAAAUCGUAGUCAUUACGAAGGAUGGAAAAACCGUUCGAAAGACUGUUCCGGAUGAGGCGGAUGGAUUCCGGAAGCCAGUCGCGCCCCAAAUCCCGGUCAAAUGAUCAGAAGCCACAGAGCUCAGUGGACAACCAGCCGAGUUAAUAACUUUAACUUUGACCACCGAAAUUAUGUUUAUCGCGAUUUAGGAAUUCAAAUCGAUUUCUAUGUUAUAUCCUGCCAGGAGAAAAUGAAGCAAAGGAUGCAUUCUAAGAGUUGAUAGCUGAUUGGUGGAAACCAAGAAUCAUUUAAAAAGAAUGCAAAAAGCAUGCAACGACAUAAUUUGAAAAUGAAGAAAACGUGCAUAUUCAUAGGAAUUUAUAUUAGUGGAUCAUAUAUAUGGGAUUACAUUCAGUAGAAAUACCCGUACGUCGAAAGAGUUAGUUAAAUAAAUUUUCAGCUAUCAAUGAUAAAAAUAUAUAAAUACUAUUUUAUACAGAGAUACAGAGAUG
rnacentral:lncRNA from 1 species